rnacentral:rRNA from 1 species
UACGAAGGGUGUAAGCGUUACUCGGAAUUACUGGGCGUAAAGCGUGCGUAGGUGGUUUGUUAAGUCUGUUGUGAAAGCCCCGGGCUCAACCUGGGAAUGGCAAUGGAUACUGGCAGGCUAGAGUGCGGUAGAGGGUAGUGGAAUUCCCGGUGUAGCGGUGAAAUGCGUAGAGAUCGGGAGGAACACCAGUGGCGAAGGCGGCUACCUGGACCAGCACUGACACUGAGGCACGAAAGCGUGGGGAGCAAACAGG